GACGAACGCUGGCGGCGUGCUUAACACAUGCAAGUCGAACGGAAAGGCCCUGCUUUUGUGGGGUGCUCGAGUGGCGAACGGGUGAGUAGCACGUGAGUAACCUGCCCUUGACUUUGGGAUAACUUCAGGAAACUGGGGCUAAUACCGGAUAGGAGCUCCUGCUGCAUGGUGGGGGUUGGAAAGUUUCGGCGGUUGGGGAUGGACUCGCGGCUUAUCAGCUUGUUGGUGGGGUAGUGGCUUACCAAGGCUUUGACGGGUAGCCGGCCUGAGAGGGUGACCGGCCAAAUUGGGACUGAGAUACGGCCCAGACUCCUACGGGAGGCAGCAGUGGGGAAUAUUGCACAAUGGGCGGAAGCCUGAUGCAGCAACGCCGCGUGCGGGAUGACGGCCUUCGGGUUGUAAACCGCUUUCGCCUGUGACGAAGCGUGAGUGACGGUAAUGGGUAAAGAAGCACCGGCUAACUACGUG
rnacentral:rRNA from 1 species